UUCCACAGCAGCACAUGCCCCACCCACCCCAUCUGACCAGCAGAGCUCCGGAAGUGACCGCCUCGUUAUUGAUACUGAGGCAGAGGAGGAGGAGGAAAUGGGGGAGCCCUCAGGCCAGCCUGAUGUCACUUACGUGGACUCGGGGGAGGAGGAGCCACAGUAUA